rnacentral:rRNA from 1 species
AUCCGAUUGAUCCUGUCGGUACAACACGCUGCGCUGUAGGAUUAAGCCAUGCAUGUGAGUAGUACACACGACACCAAAAAGUGAAACUGCGGAAGGCUCAGUAAAUCAGUGAUAGUCUGUUCGACUAUUGCAGAUUGGAUAACCGUGGGAAAUCUAGAGCUAAUACAUGGUGAAAAGCGCGGCGCCCGUGCUCCGCGCUGGCAUUUAUUAGACAAAACCAAAGGCGACGGCACACUGCGUGCCGCCUGCAGGGUGAAUCUAGAUAACUGAGUCAAUCGCACGGCCAAGUGCCGGCGAUGUGUCGAUUGAAUUUCUGCCCUAUCAACUUGUUGGUAAGGUAGUGGCUUACCAAGGUUACCACGGGUAACGGGGAAUCAGGGUUCGAUUCCGGAGAGGGAGCCUGAGAAACGGCUACCACAUCCAAGGAAGGCAGCAGGCGCGUAAAUUACCCAAUCCAGACAAUGGGAGGUGGCAACCAGCAGUACCGAGUAGUGGGCGAUGCCCACUCAUCUCGGAAUGAGCGUAGAGUAAAAAGUUUGUCGAGAAACCACUGGAGGGCAAGUCUGGUGCCAGCAGCCGCGGUAAUUCCAGCUCCAGUAGCGUGUCGUAAAGUUGUUGCGUUUAAAACGCUCGUAGUUGAAUCAUAAGGUGCUGCGCGGUUGAUGUGAGGCCGUGCAGACACCCCAUCCGCUGUGGUGGUGCCAAAGAUUCGGAUCCGCGGUGCCGCUGCAGUGGAGUCUGUGUGGUGCAUGUCGUUUGCCGCGCGGCACUAGUUGCGUGUGGGGACGGUGACUGGCCUUGGGUGCGUCGGUCACCGCGACCCGCAGAGUGUGCCUUGAAUAAAUCAGAGUGCUCAAAGCAGGCCCGUGCCUGAAUGAUACAGCAUGGAACGAACAAACGUGUUUGUGAGUGUGUGGUGCAUGUUUAWAGCGUCAUCGUACGCUCAUCUCACCAACCACCGUGUACGGAUGUUGGUAGCCGUAUCGGGGUGAUGAUUAAAACGAGCGGUUGGGGGCAUCAGUAUUUGGUGGCGAGAGGUGAAAUUCUUAGACCCACCAAGGACUAACAACGGCGAAAGCAUUUGCCAAGACCGUCUCGAUUGAUCAAGAACGAAAGUGAGAGGUUCGAAGACGAUCAGAUACCGUCCUAGUUCUCACCGUAAACUAUGCCGACCCGUGAUCGGCGCUGAGCGAAUGUCGUGCUCACCGUCGGUCGCCCUGGGAAACCUGAAGUGUUCGGGUUACGGGGAGAGUAUGGUCGCAAGGCUGAAACUUAAAGGAAUUGACGGAAGGGCACCACCAGGGGUGGAGCCUGCGGCUUAAUUUGACUCAACACGGGGAAACUUACCCGUUUACGGCGUGAGCAUAUGAUGGACAGAAUAGCGUUCUUUCCUGAUUUCACGGUUGGUGGUGCAUGGCCGCUUUUAGUUCGUGAGGUGACUUGUCAGGCUGAUUCCGGUAACAGAACGAGACCGCAAUUUCCAUUUACUACGCGGGAUAGUGGUAACCGCGAGGCUGCCACAACGCUCGUUGCGUUCUGACGCCGUCAGGCCAGGAAUGCGACGAGUGCCUCCUGUAAGGCCGUCCACGGUCAAACGUGAGCGGUUGUAUGGAGAGACAACCGACGCUAAGUCGGAGGAGGCGCGGCGAGAGCAGGUCAGUUAUGCCCCUAGACAUACGGGGCAGCACGCGCGCUACAAUGACGGUGACAGUGAGUUAUCUAGUCCGAGAGGACCGGGAAAUCUGUCAAUCACCGUCGUGAUGGGGAUUGUCCCUUGUAACUGGGACAUGAAACAGGAAUCCCUUGUACGCGUACUUCAUCGAGAGUACGUGGAAUGAGUCCCUGCCCUUUGUACACACCGCCCGUCGCUACUACCG